CAUCCAGCGACGUCUGACCCCGGAGGCUUCCAGCCGUCCUGAAACACGAGUGUGUACGGCGCCACGGGGCUCCGCUGAGCAGACCUACGUGAAGAGAACGAGCCAUCAGCAUGUGCACAUAUUAAAGGAACAGAUCUUCAAAAAUGCUGGUCUGGAGCAGAGCCACGGCCCCUUGUGUCAUAGCCGGGCUAGACACGGACGCAGCAAAACCAGGACCUCCUGUUGCCUUCACGAUCUACAAACACACACAAAUGAAGCUGAAGAAAUACACACUCGGCCUCUUCUGGGUGCAGCUCUGACAAACCAGCAGGAGAAGAGCUGGAUCGCGGAGAGAUGGGGAAUUUAUGCAAUCACAGCGGAGAACAGAUGACAAGAGAAACUCCUCCAGUUCCUCAUCAAUGGAUGACUUUGUUGGUCCGGACCUCUAGCAUCACCUCGGCACUGGACAGCCGAUGAGAAUCAACAAGAAGCGCGAUCUGUGAAAGAGCAUCUUCGACAGUAUCCACACCCUCAUCUCCCAGAGAAAAACUCACCAGCCGCUGGAUUAAAAAUAGAGCAAAAACAAAAAAUCAACAUCACUGAUAUCAGGCUGUAAAAAAGAUAAACAUAAAAACAUGGCAACGCACACACAGUUAUCAGCAGCAUGCAUGAAUCACCUCUUCAACUGCCUUUUCUACUCCUUUUCUAGUUAUUUAAUUGCUUUGAUAAAGAUAAUUAACUUUAAUUGAAAAUUGACCUUUCUGGAACAUUAUGCACAUACAAUUAGCACCUUUUAGUGCAAGUCGAAAUAAAACGGCAUUCAUUUUAA